CCAGGUAUUCGUAAAAUCAAAGGGUCUUUGAACUUGUUUUUCAAUUCUUUAUGCUUCCACCUACACCUCUUUUGCAUUUCAAUUUUUAGGCAGAUGAUACCCUAUACCAGUAAUGUCAUGGCAGAUAAAAGCAUGGACGUAUCCAAGUUUGCUAAUCACUUAUUUCCUUUUUCUUUCCUGAGCCAGAUCCUCCAGUCAAAUCAAAAGAGUGAGGCAUCAAGAUUGGCUGGAUUUCUUGACGCCAGAAAUGCAGUAAAUAAGCAGACUCCCAAAAUCCAGGCUUCUCAGUAAUGCUGUUCCUCUUGGUCCUGUCCUUGCUUCGAGUGUAGGUUGAGGAGGAACAUGAAAUGUCUCUUUCAAGGACACUGAUUUCUAAAUAGUUUUCUCUUUAUAUCUUCAUUAGGAGUGAUCCCUAUGUCAUCUAGCAGUUCACAAUAUUUCUUAUAUAAUGGACUUCUUGGAGUUGGAUUUCUCCAGGUUACAGUACUCAAAGCUUCGUGUAAAAUAUUUACAAAACCAGAGGACUUCUUGGAGUUAUAUCUUGGCAAUUCAACGCGUAAUUCCAUUACAACACAUCUACCAAAUGUUUACCAACAGCAUUUACCUAUAUCAAAGUCAAUGUAUCAUUAUCAAAUGUGAUGCAAUAUUGAAGAGAUA
rnacentral:lncRNA from 1 species